rnacentral:misc_RNA from 1 species
AACGCAAAUUGCACUCCCUGGCAUUCCGGGGAGUAUGCCUGUUUGAGGGUCAGUUUAAAUAAAUAUCGUGGUGUUGCUUUUUGUGACGCUUCGGAAUUGGGUUAUCUUGAUCUUCUGGGUUAAGCGGCCUAAAAUUGAAGUAUCUCUGUGCAUCUUGGACGUACAUAAGAAUUUUUUCCUAUCCGUCAGGGUUGCCAGGUUCUUAUUAGGUAUGAUCACUUUGUUUGUGAAAUCUGUACCUAUAACGUAACUCAUAUUUUGACCUCAAAUCAGGUAGGAAUACCCGCUGAACUUAA